rnacentral:rRNA from 1 species
UACAGAGGGGGCAAGCGUUGUUCGGAAUUACUGGGCGUAAAGGGCGCGUAGGCGGCCUGCUAAGUCGAACGUGAAAUCCCUGGGCUCAACCCAGGAACUGCGUCCGAUACUGUGCGACUAGAGUGCAGAAGGGGCAACUGGAAUUCUCGGUGUAGCGGUGAAAUGCGUAGAUAUCGAGAGGAACACCUGCGGCGAAGGCGGGUUGCUGGGCUGACACUGACGCUGAUGCGCGAAAGCCAGGGGAGCGAACGGG